rnacentral:rRNA from 1 species
GAUGAACGCUGGCGGCGUGCUUAACACAUGCAAGUCGAGCGAGAAGUUUUGAAAAGAUUCUUCGGAUGAAAUUUAAAAUGGAAAGCGGCGGACGGGUGAGUAACGCGUAGGCAACCUGCCCCAUACAAAGGGAUAGCAUUUGGAAACGAAUAUUAAUACCUUAUGAAACUUAACUAGUGCAUGCUAGGUAGGUCAAAGAUUUAUCGGUAUGGGAUGGGCCUGCGUCUGAUUAGCUAGUUGGUGAGGUAACGGCCCACGAAGGCGACGAUCAGUGGCCGGACUGGGAGGGUGAACGGACACGUUGGAACAGAGAGACGGGACAAACUCCUACGGGAGGCGGGAGUGGGGAAUAUUGAACAAUGGGGGAAACACUGAGGCAGCCACGCCGCGUGAACGAGGAAGGCCUUUGGGUCGUAAAGUUCUGUUCUAGGUGAUGAAAACUGACAGUAACCUAGGAGAAAGCCCCGGCUAACUCCGUG